ACUGAACGCUGGCGGAAUGCUUUACACAUGCAAGUCGAACGGCAGCACGGGGCAACCUGGUGGCGAGUGGCGAACGGGUGAGUAAUACAUCGGAACGUGCCCAAUCGUGGGGGAUAACGUAGCGAAAGUUACGCUAAUACCGCAUACGAUCUACGGAUGAAAGCGGGGGAUCGCAAGACCUCGCGCGAAUGGAGCGGCCGAUGUCAGAUUAGGUAGUUGGUGGGGUAAAGGCUCACCAAGCCAACGAUCUGUAGCUGGUCUGAGAGGACGACCAGCCACACUGGAACUGAGACACGGUCCAGACUCCUACGGGAGGCAGCAGUGGGGAAUUUUGGACAAUGGGCGCAAGCCUGAUCCAGCCAUUCCGCGUGCAGGAUGAGGGCCUUCGGGUUGUAAACUGCUUUGUUACAGAACGAAAAAGACUACUUUCUAAUUACAGAGAGUCCAUGACGGUACUGUAAGAAUAAGACACCGGCGUAACUAACGUGCCAGCAGCCGCGGUAAUC
rnacentral:rRNA from 1 species